rnacentral:rRNA from 1 species
GUAGUUAGCCGGGGCUUCCUCCUUGGCUACCGUCACUUUCUUCGUCACCAAGGACAGAGGUUUACAAUCCGAAGACCUUCUUCCCUCACGCGGCGUUGCUGGGUCAGGCUUUCGCCCAUUGCCCAAUAUUCCCCACUGCUGCCUCCCGUAGGAGUCUGGACCGUGUCUCAGUUCCAGUGUGGCCGAUCAGCCUCUCAGCUCGGCUACCCAUCGCAGGCUUGGUGGGCUGUUAUCUCACCAACUACCUAAUGGGACGCGAACCCCUCCUUCAGCGGAUUGCUCCUUUGACCUCAUCCCGAUGCCGGGUCGUGGUCUUAUGCGGUAUUAGCACUUGUUUCCAGGUGUUAUCCCCCUCUGAAGGUCAGGUUGUUCACGCGUUACUCACCCGUUCGCCACUAAAAUUUAUCUUCCAUCCGAAAACUUCCGAUAAAUCUCCGUUCGACUUGCAUGUGUUAGGCACGCCGCCAGCGUUCGUCCUAAGCCAGGAUCAAACUCUGA